GUCCACGCCCUAAACGAUGUCUACUAGUUGUCGGGUCUUAAUUGACUUGGUAACGCAGCUAACGCGUGAAGUAGACCGCCUGGGGAGUACGGUCGCAAGAUUAAAACUCAAAGGAAUUGACGGGGACCCGCACAAGCGGUGGAUGAUGUGGAUUAAUUCGAUGCAACGCGAAAACCUUACCUACCCUUGACAUGGAAGGAAUCCCUGAGAGAUUGGGGAGUGCCCGAAAGGGAACCUUUUACACAGGUGCUGCAUGGCUGUCGU
rnacentral:rRNA from 1 species